GACGAACGCUAGCGGCGUGCUUAACACAUGCAAGUCGAACGGAAAGGCCCUGCUUUUGUGGGAUGCCCGAGUGGCGAACGGGUGAGUCACACGCAAGUAACCUGCCAUUUACUUUUGGAUAACUUCAGGAAACUGGGGUUCAUACCGGAUUGGAGCUCCUGCUGCGUGGUGGGGGUUGGAAAGUUUCGGCGGUUGGGGAUGGACUCGCGGCUUAUCUGCUUGUUGGUGGGGUAGUGGCUGACCAAGGCUUUGACGGGUAGCCGGCCUAAGAGGGUGACCGGCCACAGUGGGACUGAGAUACGGACCAGGCUCCGACGGGAGGCAGCAGUGGGGAAGAUUGCAGAAUGAGCGGAAGCCUGAGGCAGAAACGCGGCGUGUGGAAUGUCGGCCGUCGGUGUGUAAACAGCUUUCGCCGGUGACGAAGCGUGAGUGACGGAAAUUAGUAAAGAAGCACCGGCUAACUACGU
rnacentral:rRNA from 1 species